rnacentral:tRNA from 1 species
GGUGGCUCAGUGGUAGAGCACUUGCCUUGCAUGCAUGAGGCCCUGGGUUCAGUGGUAGAGCACUUGCCUUGCAUGCAUGAGGUCCUGGGUUCGAUUCCUCAGCACCA